rnacentral:lncRNA from 1 species
CUUUUUUGCAGAACUGGACUGGAACUGAACUCACCAAGUGAAAAGGCUCCUGAAAACUUGCUCACUUCAAGCAAAAGUGAAAAAGCUGCCAGCCCUCCUGCACAGGACUUGUCUCCUGAGCAGCAGAAAGGGAAUAACGAAGGAAGCUGUGUAAAUCCCAAUGGUGAAGCCCAGAACAAGAACCAAGAACAAACCCACUGUGCCAAGUCCCAAGAGAAUCCUUCACGCCUAUGGUAUGAGACAUUUGCAAGAGAGAAAUGAACCCAUGGUCUGGGAGGAGUUA